rnacentral:rRNA from 1 species
CCAAUAGCGUAUAUUAAAGUUGUUGCAGUUAAAAAGCUCGUAGUUGAAUUUCGGGGUUAGUAAGUUGGUCAUGCCUCCGGUAUGCACUGGCUUUACUGAUUCCUCCUUCUUGAUGAACUGUAAUGUCAUUAAUUUGGUGUUGCAGGGAAUCAGGACUGUUACUUUGAAAAAAUUAGAGUGUUUAAAGCAGGCAUAAGCUUGAAUACAUUAGCAUGGAAUAAUGAAAUAGGACGUUUGAUCCUAUUUUGUUGGUUUCUAGGAUUGACGUAAUGAUUAAUAGGGAUAGUUGGGGGCAUUAGUAUUCAAUUGUCAGAGGUGAAAUUCUUGGAUUUAUUGAAGACUAACUACUGCGAAAGCAUUUGCCAAGGAUGUUUUCAUUAAUCAAGAACGAAAGUUAGGGGAUCGAAGACGAUCAGAUACCGUCGUAGUCUUAACCAUAAACUAUGCCGACUAGGGAUCGGAUGAUGUUAUUUUUAAUGACUCAUUCGGCGCCUUACG